rnacentral:rRNA from 1 species
AUAGUUAGUGGCAGACGGGUGAGUAAUGCAUAGGAAUCUACCUAGUAGUAUGGGAUAGCCACUAGAAAUGGUGGGUAAUACUGUAUAAUCCCUGCGGGGGAAAGAUUUAUCGCUAUUAGAUGAGCCUAUGUUAGAUUAGCUAGUUGGUAGGGUAAAGGCCUACCAAGGCGAUGAUCUAUAGCUGGUCUGAGAGGAUGAUCAGCCACACUGGAACUGAGAUACGGUCCAGACUCCUACGGGAGGCAGCAGUGGGGAAUAUUGGACAAUGGGCGCAAGCCUGAUCCAGCUAUGCCGCGUGAGUGAGGAAGGCCUUAGGGUUGUAAAACUCUUUCAGUAGGGAAGAUAAUGACGGUACCUACAGAAGAAGUCCCGGCAAACUCCGUGCCAGCAGCCGCGGUAAUACGGAGGGGGCAAGCGUUGUUCGGAAUUAUUGGGCGUAAAGGGCAUGUAGGCGGUUCGGUAAGUUAAAGGUGAAAUGCCAGGGCUUAACCCUGGAGCUGCU